CCUACGGGAGGCAGCAGUGAGGAAUAUUGGUCAAUGGGCGAGAGCCUGAACCAGCCAAGUCGCGUGAGGGAGUACUGCCCUAUGGGUUGUAAACCUCUUUUGUCGGGGAGCAAAAGCCGGACGUGUCCGGCUGUGAGAGUACCCGAAGAAAAAGCAUCGGCUCACUCCGUGCCAGCAGCCGCGGUAAUACGGAGGAUGCGAGCGUUAUCCGGAUUUAUUGGGUUUAAAGGGUGCGCAGGCGGAUUUUUAAGUCAGCGGUAAAAUCGUGGGGCUCAACCCCAUCCAGCCGUUGACACUGGGGAUCUAGAGUGUGCGAGAGGUAUGCGGAAUGCGUGGUGUAGCGGUGAAAUGCAUAGAUAUCACGCAGAACCCCGAUUGCGAAGGCAGCAUACCGGUGCACAACUGACGCUCAGGCACGAAAGCGUGGGUAUCGAACAGGAUUAGAUACCCUAGUAGUC
rnacentral:rRNA from 1 species